CCCAUAGAGCCCAUACAUCAGCCCCAUAGAGCCCCAUAGAGCCCCAGAAAUCCCAUAGAGCCCAUAGGUCUGCCCCAUAGAGCCCCAGAGAUCCCAUAGAGCACAGAGAUCUGCCCCAUAGAGCCCAUAGGUCUGCCCCAUAGAGCCCCAGAGAUCCCAUAGAGCACAGAGAUCUGCCCCAUAGAGCCCAUAGGUCUGCCCCAUAGAGCCCCAGAGAUCCCAUAGAGCCCAUAGGUCUGCCCCAUAGAGCCCCAGAGAGCCCCAGAGAGCCCCAUAGAUGCCAGAGAUCCCAUAGAUGCCAUACAGAGCAGACAUCUGCCCCACAAAGCCCAUAGGUCUGCCCCAUAGAGCCCCAUACAGCCCAUAGGUCUGCCCCAUAGAGCCCCAUAGAGCCCAUAGAGCCCAUACAUCUGUCCCACAGAGGACAGAGAGCCCAUAGGUCUGCCCCAUAGAGCCCCAUACAGCCCCUAGAGCACAGAAAUCUGCCCCAUAGAGCCCAUAGGUCUGCCCCAUAGAGCCCCAGAGAUCCCAUAGAGCACAGAAAUCUGCCCCAUAGAGCCCAUAGGUCUGCCCCAUAGAGCCCCAGAGAUCCCAUAGAGCCCAUAGGUCUGCCCCAUAGAGCCCCAGAGAUCCCAUAGAGCACAGAAUCGCCCCAUAGAGCCCCAGAGAUCCCAUAGAGCCCAUACAUCUGUCCCACAGAGGACAGAGAGCCCAUAGGUCUGCCCCAUAGAGCCCCAUACGUCUGCCCCAUAGAGCCCCAUAGAGCCCAUACAUCUGUCCCACAGACGACAGAGAGCCCAUAGGUCUGCCCCAUAGAGCCCAUAGGUCUGCCCCAUAGAGCCCCAUAGAGCCCAUAGAGCCCCAUAGAGCCCACAGGUCUGCCCCAUAGAGCCCCAUAAAGGCCCAUAGAGACCCAUAGAGCCCAUAGAGCCCAUACAUCUGUCCCACAGAGGACAGAGAGCCCAUAGGUCUGCCCCAUAGAGCCCCAGAGAUCCCAUAGAGCACAGAGAUCUGCCCCAUAGAGCCCCAUAGAUCUCCAUAGAGCACAGAGAUCUGCCCCAUAGAGCCCCAGAGAUCCCAUAGAGCACAGAGAUCUGCCCCAUAGAGCCCCAUAGAUCUCCAUAGAGCACAGAGAUCUGCCCCAUAGAGCCCCAGAGAUCCCAUAGAGCACAGACAUCUGCCCCAUAGAGCCCCAGAGAUCCCAUAGAGCACAGAGAUCUGCCCCAUAGAGCCCCAGAGAUCCCAUAGAGCACAGAGAUCUGCCCCAUAGAGCCCCAGAGAUCCCAUAGAGCACAGAGAUCUGCCCCACAGAACCCAUAGGUCUGCCCCAUAGAGCCCAUAGAGCACAGAGAUCUGCCCCAUAGAGCCCAUAGGUCUGCCCCAUAGAGCCCCAGAGAUCUCCAUAGAGCACAGAGAUCCCAUCCCCAGGAUGGCCCCACCCACUUCCGGCCACGCCCCCUUUAAGCCCCGCCUCCCCUGACCACACCCUCCUUCAGCCCUUCAACUCCCAUGGCCGCCAUUGGCCAACCCCAAUGGCUCCCAAUGGACCCUACAGACCCCACCCACUUCCGGCCCACCCACUUCGGGACCCACCCACUUCCGGCCACGCCCUCUUUAAGCCCCGCCUCUAUUGACCACACCGCCUUCAGCCCUUCAACCCCCAUGGACGCCAUUGGCCAACCACAAUGGCUCCCAAUGGACCCUACAGACCCCACCCACUUCCGGCUCCUCCCCUUCCGGGCCCUCCCACUUCCGGCCACGCCCACUUCAAGCCACGCCCCCUUUACUCCCUACCCCAAUGGAAGCCAUUGGCCAACCCAACCCAACGCCAACCCCAAUGGCUCCCAAUGGAUCCUACAGACCCCUCCCACUUCCGGCCCACCCACUUCCGGCCACGCCCUCUUUAAGCCCCGCCUCCCCGACCACACCCUCCUUCAGCCCUUCAACUCUCAUGGACGCCAUUGGCCAACCCCAAUGGCUCCCAAUGGACCCUACAGACCUCACCCACUUCCGACUUCUCACCUUCCGGGACUUCCCACUUCCGGUCACGCCCACUUUAAGCCCCGCCUCCUUUACGACCGAUGCCAUUGGCCCACCCAAUGGAUGCCAUUGGCCAACCCAACGUCACCGACCCAACAGACCCGACAACCACACCCCCAACCCACUUCCGGCCCCUCCCACUUCCGGCCACGCCCCCUUUAAGCCCCGCCUCCCCGACCACACCCUCCUUCAGCCCUUCAAUUCCCAUGGACGCCAUUGGCCAACCCCAAUGGCUCCCAAUGGACCCUACAGACCCCUCCCACUUCUGGCACCUCCCACUUCCGGCCACGCCCACUUUAAGCCCCGCCUCCUUUACGGCGGAUGCCAUUGGCCCACCCAAUGGACGCCAUUGGCCAACCCAACACCACCGACCCCAAUAGACCCUACAGACCCCUCCCACUUCCGGCUCCUCCCCUUCCUGGACCUCCCACUUCCGGCCACGCCCACUUCAAGCCACGCCCCCUUUACUCCCUACCCCAAUGGAAGCCAUUGGCCAACCCAACACCACCGACCCAACAGACCCUAC
ensembl:lncRNA